rnacentral:rRNA from 1 species
UGAGUAACCUGCCCUUCACUCUGGAAUAACUCCGGGAAACCGGGGCUAAUACUGGAUAUGACUCGAACAGGCAUCUGUUUCGGGUGGAAAGAUUUAUUGGUGGAGGAUGGACUCGCGGCCUAUCAGCUUGUUGGUGAGGUAAUGGCUCACCAAGGCGACGACGGGUAGCCGGCCUGAGAGGGCGAUCGGCCACACUGGGACUGAGACACGGCCAGACUCCUACGGGAGCA